UGCUGGUUGUGAUCGGGAUGUAGUUACAGAGUGUAUGCAGUGGAGCUGUCUCUGUCUCUCCUACAAUAUAGGAUCCGCUCAGUGGAGAUCUUCUAUAGCAGAUCCUUCUCCUGAUUGACCCAUCAAGAAUGGAUAGGGACAAGAUGGCGGAGAGUAUAAUAAAUCUCACCCUAGAGAUCCUCUUCUAGCUUACUGGAGAGGACUACACAGUAGUGAAGAAGACCUCUAGUGAGCGCUGUCAGGCCCCCAUGUCUGAAGGAUGGGAAAGAACCCUGAGCCCAAUCACGGGGCCUCCACCUCACCCCCUGAUACAUGAGGAAAUCAAUAGAGAGAAGAUCCUAGAACUCACCAACAAGAUGAUUGAGCUGCUGACUGGAGAGGUUCCUAUGAGGUGUCAG